rnacentral:rRNA from 1 species
CAAUAGCGUAUAUUAAAGUUGUUGCGGUUAAAAAGCUCGUAGUUGGAUUUCUGCCGAGGACGACCGGUCCGCCCUCUGGGUGUGUAUCUGGUUUGGCCUGGGCAUCUUCUUGGAGAACGUAGCUGCACUUGACUGUGUGGUGCGGUGUCCAGGACUUUUACUUUGAGGAAAUUAGAGUGUUUCAAGCAGGCACACGCCUUGAAUACAUUAGCAUGGAAUAAUAAGAUAGGACCUCGGUUCUAUUUUGUUGGUCUGUAGGACCGGAGUAAUGAUUAAGAGGGACAGUCGGGGGCAUUCGUAUUUCAUUGUCAGAGGUGAAAUUCUUGGAUUUAUGAAAGACGAACUACUGCGAAAGCAUUUGCCAAGGAUGUUUUCAUUAA